UUGUUAAACCAUAGGCAGCCAUACCUUCCUCCUCAGUCCCUUCUUUUAAAGGCAGGUGAAGUUCAAUAUUUAAACUUUUAUCUUGCAAAAUUCAAUGUAUUUAUUUCUUUAUUUUAAAGCAGGGCAAUCCCACAGUCCCAGAGGGUGGGUGGCCAUCAAGGAAAGCAAGGCAGUGUCCUGCUGGAAUCCCAAAUCCCCCACGUCCCUGCCUUAUUCUGCACUCUGGUGCCUCCUGCUCUGCCUGGGGACCUCUCCCUGUGCUGGCUGAGGUGGGAAAUUGUCCCUCUCACGUUUCUCCAGGCAGCUCUCAUUGGCACCUGGCUGUUCCUGCCCAUUAUUCAUGGCACGAGGAGCACGAGGAAAGCCAAACGCACCGAGCCCGCCUGCCAUGCUCCCCAAAUACAGAUGAGGCAAGAAAAGCCAUAAAAGCCUCUGAGGCCUCCUAAUUUCUCCCCUUUGAAUCAUCUGUCAUAAAACCUCACUGGAGACGGGAUGUGCUCACUCAGAGGUGGAUUUUGGCAGCUCUCAGGAUGCCCUCAGAGCAGGGGGGUGAGAGCUGUCCUGCCCCAGCAGUGGAUGCUCCUCCUUGUGCAAAAUUCUGGAGAUUUAACAUCAGAACAUCGCCUGACAUUAAAGAGUAACAACCUCGGAAUUAUUUGUUCCAGCAGCUAUGAAGAAAUAAGACUUGGACAUUCUAGAACUUCGGGAGGACAUCUCCCUCUUUCCAGAAGAAAAGGCUCAGGGAUGUUUUUCAUUAUGUCCACCAUCAAAAGUUCACCAGCUCCAGACAGCUCCUGAGCUCAAAUAAAUCUCUUGAAUUCCACA
rnacentral:lncRNA from 1 species